rnacentral:rRNA from 1 species
UACAGAGGGGGCAAGCGUUGUUCGGAAUUACUGGGCGUAAAGGGCGCGUAGGCGGCCUGCUAAGUCGAACGUGAAAUCCCUGGGCUUAACCCAGGAACUGCGUCCGAUACUGGCAGGCUUGAAUCCGGGAGAGGGAUGCGGAAUUCCAGGUGUAGCGGUGAAAUGCGUAGAUAUCUGGAGGAACACCGGUGGCGAAGGCGGCAUCCUGGACCGGCAUUGACGCUGAGGCGCGAAAGCCAGGGGAGCAAACGGG